CCAUGUCUCCUUUUUUUCCUCCCCACGUUGUUGCAGGGCGUUUUCAUUGACAGUGGUGGGUGGUUAUUGAAGUUAAAUGACAGUAUUAAUGGUUUGCUUCACACAAUUGCCGUCGGUAAGCCUUUCUCCUCUACUCGUCGCCGCUGUUGUUUGAGUCUGACACCAGCGCCGCCUCCGUUCUACACCCUUUCGUUGCUUAACACACACUGACGCCACAAAAUUUCUGAAAUUGAUCACAAGGUAGCCUUCAUACACCCUUCCCCUUGUACACAUCUGGUAUAUACACAUACACAUAACAUAGCUUUCAUCAAUGGCUAUCUAAACCUUCAUUCAAUCACAUCCUGAUGUUUUACACCCCCACUUUCGUGCUCUUUCCUAAGUUGGUCGUCAGUCGCUUGCGGAAAUCCAUAUCGGCUUCGUCAAUCUUCUUGAUAAUACUAAUCAAGUGCGUUUAUGAAGGAGGUUGAAAUUUUUCAUAAAGAGAGGAGUUUGGAGUUUAAGCCUCCAAAGUUUCAUGGAGAUUUAAUUUCUGGUGCAAAAGAGGGGUGAAUUAGAGGGACGUGUAACUUCCCUAAUUAGGGAGGUUAAAGAGUCGGGCCUACAAUAGUGGGAGCUGGUGACAGUGGCGGAACUAGAACAUCAAUUCAGGGGAAUUCCAAUUCAGCAGUUGAUUGUUUAUGAAAGAAUGCUAUUGGUGGGACUUGAUGAACGGUUAAAAGAACGAGUUUGCGGUCAAGAUGAAGCUGUGGAUGUGAGUGUGUGCUGACACAUACGCGUGAGAGAUCACCAUAUUGUGCCUUAAAACGCAAAGGGGUGGAGUGUUCCAAGGUUUUAGUGGAAAUCCCAACGUGUUGCCGCAAACAGUGGUUUACAGUGUCAUCAUCUACUCCGUGAUCGGGUUUGAGUGGAUCUUAAUUUAUUUACAGUUUUUUUUUUCUAAUUGUGUUAUUGCCCAUGUGUAAAUGUGUUAUAAAGGCUGCUCUUUUAGCUUCAACAAGUUCUACAUAUGGCUCAGAAAUUAGUCUAGAAUGUUGGGUAAUUGGUCAAAAUGCAUUUUGAGUCGAAGUGAGUCGUUUUGAUUAUACCUAUGUUGACACUUUUUUGAAAACACACCAAGAGCUAAAGUGUGACGUGAAGGAUUUGUACAUCAACUCUGCAAAGUUUAUUUCUUUGUUGACACUUGUAAACACACCAAAGACUUAUGUUGACACUUUUUCAUGCGAGUUCUUUUCUUUGUUUUUUUCUUAUGCUAAUCUUUAUUUUUGUGAUCUUUUUGUAGUUAACGUCAACCAAAGGUUGUUGUGGUGAACUUCUGAAACCCUAGGAACCGGAGCAAAGCAGGCAAUAUUGGCGUCAACCAAAGUUUUGUCGACGAAAGUAUUAUUUGUUAUUUGCAAUAGGAACAACCUUGUAGAUUUAAGUUGUCAUGUUUAAAUUAUAUUGAAGCCUUUUAAUUUAUUAAUUGCUGAAAGGGAUAGGUUAGAAUGUUUGAAGCAAGUUG
rnacentral:lncRNA from 1 species